rnacentral:lncRNA from 1 species
UCAAAAACUUGGUGUCAUAGUGUUGGCUUCUAGUGCAGUGAGCCCCUUUUGCUGGAUAACCUUACCUGGUAAUUUGACAUACUAGGUGGUUAGUAACUACUGACUGUCUCCAGGUUACAACACAGUUAUUACCCACUUGGGUGAAAAGAGAAGACAGGAAAUACAUUUUGGAGUUGGCUGGCAACCUGUUUACAAAGCAAUUUACAACAGUUCCUUAUUCUUAAGGGGCUAUUCUAAUACAAGACCUCAGAGAAACAGUGCAGUGUGACAAAGGAGGAAUUUAUCAAAGGAGACAGAAAAAGCAUCAAGGCAAGCUGUGAAAUGGUGCGGUAGGAACCAAAUAGAGAGCCAAAGGAUCUUUCUGUCACUGCAGGCCCUUAGGGGUGCACACCUAUCCUUUCUCCAGACAUGGAUCUUUUACCCAUGGGAUCAUUACCCCAUCUCUGGGCCUCUCUGAACAAAUCUAAUUCACUGAGCAUGAAUUGAUCACUACCCACUCAACCUUUUGUGGCGCAGGAAGGAUGCUCUACCUGUGAAAAAAGCAUCCAGAAGAUCUUCUUGCAAAGGGAGGUUUGAGGAUCCCUGCAAAGAGAAUGGGUCUGGGGUGGGCUGAGACUGUAGACAGGACUCAGAGGCUGGGGCUGUUUUCACAGGGGAGGGAUUUGGUGCCAGCAGUUAAAUCCAUUGUGCCCUAUUUAGAACUUCACUCUUGUCCCAAACAUUGACAGAGUCAUCACUAUGCACCAGGGACCAUCUUAAGCUCUGAGGUCACACACACACACACACAAGGAUCCAAU